CAGCUGUAUUGCAUUUGAUCGUCACAUAAAACGACGUGAUGUGAAAAUAUUUUGAUAAUAGCUACUACACAAUAUUCGUCUAGGCAAACGCCAAAAGAUAAACACACACUUUUAUCUUUUUCUUUGUGCUUUUCAGAUUAAUUAAUCAUGCUUCUUUGCGACACACUGUCGUUUUGUGAAGUUCAGCUGUUGUUGACUGGGCCACACAAGUACUGAGCCAUGAGAGAUUCUACAGCUUCUGCUGAUGGAAAGCAGCAGCUACCUGGCAGCUACUAACUGGCAGCAGCUACUGUUGUGGCAGCUCUCUGGUGCCCAUAAUUGAUGGUGCACUCCUGACUGAAGGAAGGGAGGAAGAAGUUGUCCGUGAUCAUGGAGGUGGAGGAGAGGUGUGACUCAGAUUAUCUUAUACAUACAGCAGCAGACAGAUAUCUAUAUAAACAGACACAGUCACAACACCUGCUAUCAAAAAUGACACACACACACACACGCACGCACGCACGCACGCGCAUGCACAAACAGACAAAGAUUGGCAUUCUUUCUCCAUCCAGCUGCCGGGACAUUGCCGCCUCUUAGAUUUUCCUCAUUGUUGUAAACACAUUAAUUAAACACAUUAAUUGUUUAGGA